ensembl:lncRNA
GGCAGGAUAGAGAAAAGCAAAAAAGCGAAAUUUCACGGAGGUUGAAGUGGAGACACUUGUGGGUGAGGUGGAGGCCCGAAAAGUAAUUUUGUUCGGCGGUCACGGGACUGGGAUCACUAACAUUAAAAAGCAGAGUGAGUGGCAACAUGUUGCUGCGGCAGUGAACUCUGUCAGUGGCACGGAGCACACAGUCCCAGAAUUAAAAAAGAAGUGGUCUGACAUAAAGGUGGGUGCAAAGCAGAGGCUGUCCUCACACCGCCAGAGCGUGAAUGCAACUGGAGGGGGACCCAGUACUCCUGACCUAACACCAAUUGACACGAAAGUUGCAUCCAUAAUUGGCACCGCAAGCGUGAGUGGCAUCGUGUCCGAAAGGGAAGGAGACACUGACAACACAGAAGAACAAGACCCCCGGAGUGCUGUCCCUGGGCCGGUUGAAGUCCCUUAUAUCCUCUCGUGCUGGACGUGAUGUGGACCCCUUCCUCGCAUUCAGGUACUGCAGGGCCAACUUUGUUGCCGUUAAUCCAUCUUCGGGUUCGUGUUCUCUCACCCACGUCCUGGUGUCAGGAGGAAGCACCAGAAGCAGCUGCUCCAAGAUGAUGGACUCCGCCAACUCUUCUUUGCUCCUCCGCUCCGGCCGCAUCCAACGCCGGUAGAGGCCCUUCAACCUGUGGUACGCCUCCGAUUGUGUCUCCCCAGGUGGUCCUGAAGUAGCCCGAAACCGCUGACGAUACAUCUCUGGAGAGAUGUCAAAAUUGUCCAACAGCGCCUCCCUCAGGUCCUGGUAAGAAUCAGACUUGUCUUCAUCCAUAGCUGUAUUGGCCUCCAAGGCUUUUCCAGUCAGCGGGGGAAUUAGUCGACAGGCCCAUUGGCCCCUCGGCUAUUGCCAAGUUUUUGCCAUGCGUUCAAAAUGCAGAAGACAAUUUUCAAUGGGUGGGAUGGCCAAAAUGUUACAAAGAGUCGGAUUCUUUGACUUAAAAAAAAAGGAUUACGAGAUGGCUUAAGUUGCAAAAAGAAUUGAGGUGCUUUUAUUUCCAAAAAAAGGAGUGACAAGAUACAAAAACUGGACGUCCAAAAGAAAGCAAAACAAAUAUUCAAAAGGAUCGUUCAAAAAGGUUCUCCAUGAUCAAUGCCCUACAGUCAAAUACACUGACUGUCUUCCAGACUGACUACCCCCAGUAAACUGUGGUUGGCAGGCUUUUAAAGGCCUAGCCCCUCCCCUUAGCCAAACCAUUACCCAUUUAUUCAAUUAACACAUGUUUAACCCAUAUUACACUUUGGAUAACCUUCCUUCAAUACACCACAUAAUAACUCUCACAGCAUCUACCAAGUCCAACAUAUAUAUCCUACUUAAACACAUAAACUUACACACACACUCAUAUACAUAUGUCACCCAUGAGCUAAUAUCAGAUUAUAUCUCCCACCAUCAGCACAUCUGAGCCACCUGCUGUGCCCUCUAUUUAAAGCAGCCUUAAGCAAGCACUCUGAUUGCAACCUGAAAUGAGUGAAGAAGAACCAUAAGUAUCAAAGGAAUGAAACUAAAUCAAAUAAACAGUUCAAUUUGUGUGUGUCUACUUGUUGGUAUUAACCUGCAGGGGAUUUGUGUAAGAUUAUGAGCUUAAAGGGAAGUUGUAUUGUAGUGCGUGCACUCACCACAAUAACAGAAGGGAAGGAUAAGUAAAUGAAUGGAUAUAAUGUCUUAACCAGCAACUAAUGGCAUGGCCUUCAUGUCACAUUAGCACCCUCCUCUCCUGCAGCGACAAUGUAUGGCACUCGUGAUAGGCUUUUAUUUUUUAUUUCAUCUAUUAAUAAUCAAUUGAUAAUCAUUAAUUGAUUAAUAAUCAUGUUUUUUAUUGCUUGCAUGUUCGAAAUAAAGAGGUAGUCCGCUGUGACAUUCUCCUUGCCUGCUUUUGUCGAACACAG